CCUGACUGACCGAUAGUGAACCAGUACCGUGAGGGAAAGGCGAAAAGAACCCCGGCGAGGGGAGUGAAAAAGAACCUGAAACCGUGUACGUACAAGCAGUGGGAGCCCCACCACCAAAGCAUUCUCUUCGGGAUGAUAUGACGCUAAUAAAUCGGGCGGCGCAAAUGCAGCAACUGUUACUGGAUGGCGCCAGACCGGAAAAUCUGCCGCUCUAUUUCAAUCGAAUGGUGGAUACGAAGCAGGAUAUCUUAUUG
rnacentral:rRNA from 1 species